rnacentral:rRNA from 1 species
UACGGAGGGGACUAGCGUUGUUCGGAAUUACUGGGCGUAAAGCGCGCGUAGGCGGAUUUGCAAGUCGGGGGUGAAAGCCCGAGGCUCAACCUCGGAACUGCCCUCGAUACUGCAAAUCUCGAGUCCGAGAGAGGUGAGUGGAAUUCCUAGUGUAGAGGUGAAAUUCGUAGAUAUUAGGAAGAACACCAGUGGCGAAGGCGGCUCACUGGCUCGGUACUGACGCUGAGGCGCGAAAGCGUGGGGAGCAAAC